CUUCUGGGUGCUGUACCUGUGGCUGUGAUGCCCCGGCUUGGUGCCCCCUUUGGGGCGUCCGUGAAGCGGGGGCAUCCCCUACAGGCUGGGUCCUAGGGCAGCAGACACAGGGGACACGGGAAGGCCGUCCACAGCUUCCCUCCUGCGCGCCGCAGAGAGUCCCCACGUCCUGGUAGGACCCUCACUGGUCGAGCCCACAGAACAAAAAGUGGGUCCGCUGCCACUUUGCUGCAGGGCCUGUGACAGCGUCCUCCUGCACCCUGGUCCUCCUGCGCCCUGGUCCUCCUGCGUCCUGGUCCGGCGGCUCUGCUUCCAGAGCUCUGACAACACCAAAGGCCUCAUUCAACCGCCGACAGGGCAGGAAGGGGAGAGGCCUUCGCGCACCCCAGCAGGCCGGAGCUUUGAGGAGGCGGGUCAGUGCCAGCUGUGUCUCAGGGAUCUCUGAUGUGCUGGGUGACGUCCGUGCAUCCGGGACCCCUGUUCUAGUUCUGUGUCCCUGGAACGCAGCCCGCUCAUCGCUGCGCACUGACAGUCCCCGAGGUCCGCAUGCUGAGGGAGCUCCCGGGAACCAGACAUGUCCGGAGGGGGCUCCACGUCGCAUUUCAAGCUGCAGGGCCCGUUAGGCUCCCGUGGGAACACGGAGGCUGGUGCAGGCUCAGAGCCGCGCUGCAGGCUCCGGGUCGUGCGGAGAUUAGACGCGACUGGAAACUGCAGUUUCCGUGUGGCCGCUGGCAGAUACCUGACUCCCCCGCCGGCAGUGACCUGGGUGCCGGGCUGCCCGCCCCUCCCCGUGACAGGAGGCCUUCUGUCCACGUUUGGGGGAGCAGCAGGAGGUCAGUGCUGCCUCACGCCUGAGCUACUGCCUGUGAGCGCCCGUCGUCGGCAGAAACGUGCCGUCUGCUCCAGCCCGAUGCCCCCUUCAUUCCCUUGAAGUCGCUUCGGAGCGUGGUGGCUGUAAGGGGCAUGCGGGGCAGCUCCGGCCUGCGAUAAUGCCCCAAAACAAACAUCUCCGGAGCCCAGGGGCUUCCAGCAGCAGCCUUUCUUCUUGGCUCACAAUGCUCUGGUCACAGCCGCGGCUCCGCUUUAGGCUGCAGGUAACUGAGGCCCCGCUGCGCCCAGCCUGGGUGAC